rnacentral:rRNA from 1 species
GAUGAACGCUGGCGGCGUGCUUAACACAUGCAAGUCGAACGAAGCACUUUACCUGAUUUCCUUCGGGGAUGAUUGUUCUGUGACUGAGUGGCGGACGGGUGAGUAACGCGUGGAUAACCUGCCUCACACAGGGGGAUAACAGUUGGAAACGACUGCUAAUACCGCAUAAGCGCACAGCACCGCAUGGUGCAGUGUGAAAAACUCCGGUGGUGUGAGAUGGAUCCGCGUCUGAUUAGCUUGUUGGCGGGGUAACGGCCCACCAAGGCGACGAUCAGUAGCCGGCCUGAGAGGGCGACCGGCCACAUUGGGACUGAGACACGGCCCAGACUCCUACGGGAGGCAGCAGUGGGGAAUAUUGCACAAUGGGGGAAACCCUGAUGCAGCGACGCCGCGUGAGCGAUGAAGUAUUUCGGUAUGUAAAGCUCUAUCAGCAGGGAAGAUAAUGACGGUACCUGACUAAGAAGCUC